UGAGAGUAACGCUCUGUAUCGAGCUAAACCAGGCGCUGCUGCCAAGGCAAACUCUACUGCAGCACCUGGGUACGGUCAAAGCACCUCCCCGGAGAGGUGUCGGAAAGGACGAUGCGGUUAGCAUUGACAUGCCAGUGGCAGCUGGCCCGGAUCAGAGGGAAGAGAGAAUCUCAUGGAUUUCAUGCCGUGCUAUUUCUUUACCGUCACGCAGCAAAGAAUGGAGCGGAAGCGGCCAUGCACAGAGCAGGAGCUGCAAUACGCCUGCUGGCUGAGGAGGCUUUCUCGGGAAAUACACCAGGGACUAGAACAAGGUGGGUUUUAAAGCUCUAGGGUGGACGCUGAGUAGCGGCAGCAGCUAUUCCUUUGCACCAGAGACGGGCCAGAUCCUGGUGGAUCAUGAAGAUUGAACCCUCUCCUGCUCCCUCAGAGUUUGGGUCUAAACGCUGUGAACCGUCCGAUCUGGAUCCAACUCCGGCUGCUUCUGUCUUCACUGAACAGUGCUCCAGGAACGAAGUGGUCCUAGCUGGGAUCUCUCCAGUCCAAGCGGUUUCACGCCUUGGCCAAGUGGCCGCCUUGCUCAGGGAUGCUGCAUCUCAGCCAGCGCUGGCAAGAGUGAUGAAGAUCUCCCCAGCGCUCACACUAGACCCUGACGCCAUGAAGGGAGUAGGGGGAGGAGGCACCGGCGGAAUCAUCCAGUUAGCGCUGGCUGCAGUGGGGGGCUCAGGGCCUGGGGACGGAGGGUUCAUUUUACAACUAGAUCCGCUAACUCCGGCUUCAGUCGGGCUCCUCUUCUGUGGGGGGCUAACGGCGCCACUGCCCCAGAUUGUAAAGCACCGGAGCGUCGUGAUUUAUUCACCAGCUCGUCCCGAGCAGGAGCAGAUUGUGUCUGAGAGAGCCUGGGGGGAGGGAAGCAAAUG